rnacentral:lncRNA from 1 species
GGUGAUCUCUAGCUAGGUAUAUAUAUUUAAUCUAGCUAAGCUUAUUAAUUUUGGGACAACUAUGGCUUCCAUAAUGUUGCUGCUGGACGCUCUAGUACGAGGCAACCGCGAUAUUUAUUCUCAAGAAAAGGAGCGGAAAGAAAUGGAGGGCAUUACUGUUAGUGUUACAAAGGAAGAUGAUAAACAAAAUUUGUACAUGGUCUACGACAAAUAUGCAUGUGGCACCGGUUUCUUGAGCCCAGAAGAGGAGGUGCAGACAUGGAAGAUUGCUGAGAUUUGCAUUUGGCCAUAGAGAUCGAAUACACCAUGCAUACUCCUUCAUAUAUCGCUCCUGUCACAAGUUUUAGAUUGCGAUCAUAUAGUAAUAUUUUCGAUGGUAUUAAGAGAAGAGUACUAUUUCUUUGCAUGGAUUAUAUAUAGGAGUAUGAAUUAAAGAGAGUAAGGAAUCUUUUCUUUAAGAACGAGAAUUAUGUUCCUUGCAUGCAUCUUUCACUUCUUUUUUUUACUAAACCAUAAAUUUUACCCUAUAGUUUAGGCUUUGAAUCAAUUUUCAUCUCGAACUUUAUCAUUAAUUAAAAGUACCA